GGCUGCAUGUUGGAACAUGUAUUGGCAUUCCUUUGAAGGCUGGUGAAAAUGAAUGUUAUAUAAACACCCUGUUCAAUGUAUAAAUGAAUGCC